rnacentral:sRNA from 1 species
AGCAGCCGCGGUAAUUCCAGCUCCAAUAGCGUAUAUUAAAGUUGUUGCAGUUAAAAAGCUCGUAGUUGAAUUUCGGGGUUAGUAGAUCGGUCGUGCCACUGGUAUGUACUGGUCUCACUGGUUCCUCCUUCCUGAUGAACCGUAAUGCCAUUAAUUUGGUGUUGCGGGGAGACUGGACUGUUACUUUGAAAAAAUUAGAGUGUUUAAAGCAGGCUAACGCUUGAAUACAUUAGCAUGGAAUAACGGAAUAGGACGUUCGAUCUUAUUUUGUUGGUUUCUAAGAUUGACGUAAUGAUUAAUAGGGAUAGUUGGGGGCAUUAGUAUUCAAUUGUCAGAGGUGAAAUUCUUGGAUUUAUUGAAGACUAACUACUGCGAAAGCAUUUGCCAAGGAUGUUUUCAUUAAUCAAGAACGAAAGUUAGGGGAUCGAAGACGAUCAGAUACCGUCGUAGUCUUAACCAUAAACUAUGCCGACUAGGG